rnacentral:rRNA from 1 species
AUUGAACGCUGGCGGCAUGCCUUACACAUGCAAGUCGAACGGCAGCAUGGAAGAGCUUGCUCUUCUGAUGGCGAGUGGCGAACGGGUGAGUAAAGCAUCGGAACGUACCGUGUAGUGGGGGAUAACGUAGCGAAAGUUACGCUAAUACCGCAUACGCACUGAGGUGGAAAGCAGGGGAUCGCAAGACCUUGCGCUAUACGAGCGGCCGUUGUCAGAUUAGCUAGUUGGGAGGGUAAAGGCCUACCAAGGCGACGAUCUGUAGCGGGUCUGAGAGGAUGAUCCGCCACACUGGGACUGAGACACGGCCCAGACUCCUACGGGAGGCAGCAGUGGGGAAUUUUGGACAAUGGGCGAAAGCCUGAUCCAGCCAUGCCGCGUGAGUGAAGAAGGCCUUCGGGUUGUAAAGCUCUUUCGGCUGGGAAGAAAUCGCACAGGCUAAUACUCUGUGUGGAUGACGGUACCAGCACAAGAAGCACCGGCUAACUACGUGCCAGCAGCCGCCGUAA